UACAGCGAUGCCAUUUUCCCAGUUGGACAGACCCAACCCCUGGAGUCAUCCUUUAACUUUUUAUUGAGAGGUGGCAGCAUCAUUGCUGGGUAUGAAGUUUUUGGCUCCAGCAGUCCAUCUGAGCUGCUGUCAGCCAUUGAACAGGUGGCUGAGAAGGCCGAGGAAGGCCUUCAGAAGCUGUUUCCACUGGAAGAUGACUCCUUCAGAGUAUUUGGAAAAGUUCAGUGUAAUAGCAUUGCCUUUGGAUUUGGGUUUAAGAAUGAUGAGUAUACUCUUCCUUGUAGCAGUGGCUACACCGGGAACAUCACAGCCAAGUGCCAGCCCUCUGGGUGGCAGGUCAUCAGGGAGACAUGUGUGCUUUCUCAGCUGGAAGAACUG